UACAUAGGGUGCGAGCGUUGUCCGGAAUUAUUGGGCGUAAAGAGCUCGUAGGCGGUUUGUCGCGUCGGCCGUGAAAACUUGGGGCUUAACCCCGAGCCUGCGGUCGAUACGGACAGACUUGAGUUCGGCAGGGGAGACUGGAACUCCUGGUGUAGCGGUGAAAUGCGCAGAUAUCAGGAGGAACACCAGUGGCGAAGGCGGGUCUCUGGCCGAUACUGACGCUGAGGAGCGAAAGCGUGGGGAGCGAACAGG
rnacentral:rRNA from 1 species